rnacentral:tRNA from 1 species
GAGGAUGGAACUCAGUGGUAGAGAGUGUGCUUAGCAUGCACGAGGUCCUGAGUUCAAUCCCCAGUAUCUCCA